rnacentral:lncRNA from 1 species
AGCAAGAUUAUUUCCUUCCAAAUUUAUUUAUGAACGACUUAUACGACUCAGAAUUGAUGGUUGAAAUCAUCGCCAUUAUUUUGUAACCAUUGACUUUCAUAUCGCAAGUUUCACACACUAUUCUAUUCAAGAAGCACCGCCAUUGGGGCGUCUUCAUCGCCUUCACGAACUACCGUCACACUUCAUCGGCGAACAAGCUUGUCACAGCCGCUCACCUGUUCUAACCGCCAUUGCGUACGGUGCGUCACGACGGCACACUUGAAGUUUUCGAUUAGAGUCCGAUACACGAUCCAGUCCGUAUGCAACCGGGAACAACUGUUACGUCUCACUCGGCUCGUUUCCGUUUGGACGUGGUUGACCAACCCUAGUUCAAGAACUCUUUCCUUUGUGUAUCUGCCGAGCAACCCAAGGUGAGUUCACACAGCCAAGG